rnacentral:rRNA from 1 species
GACGAACGCUGGCGGCGUGCCUAAUACAUGCAAGUUGAGCGCUGAAGGUUGGUACUUGUACCGACUGGAUGAGCAGCGAACGGGUGAGUAACGCGUGGGGAAUCUGCCUUUGAGCGGGGGACAACAUUUGGAAACGAAUGCUAAUACCGCAUAAAAACUUUAAACACAAGUUUUAAGUUUGAAAGAUGCAAUUGCAUCACUCAAAGAUGAUCCCGCGUUGUAUUAGCUAGUUGGUGAGGUAAAGGCUCACCAAGGCGAUGAUACAUAGCCGACCUGAGAGGGUGGUCGGCCACAUUGGGACUGGGACACGGCCCAAACUCCUACGGGAGGCAGCAGUAGGGAAUCUUCGGCAAUGGACGAAAGUCUGACCGAGCAACGCCGCGUGAGUGAAGAAGGUUUUCGGAUCGUAAAACUCUGUUGGUAGAGAAGAACGUUGGUGAGAGUGGAAAGCUCAUCAAGUGACGGUAACUACCCAGAAAGGGACGGCUAACUACGUG